rnacentral:rRNA from 1 species
UACGGAGGAUGCGAGCGUUAUCCGGAUUUAUUGGGUUUAAAGGGUGCGUAGGCGGGCUGUUAAGUCAGCGGUCAAAUGUCGGGGCUCAACCCCGGCCUGCCGUUGAAACUGGUGGCCUCGAGUGGGCGAGAAGUAUGCGGAAUGCGUGGUGUAGCGGUGAGAUGCAUAGAUAUCACGCAGAACUCCGAUUGCGAAGGCAGCAUACCGGCGCCCGACUGACGCUGAGGCACGAAAGCGUGGGUAUCGAACAGG